AUUAAGAAAGACCAUUUAUCAAAGAUAAUCGGUCUCUCUUGAUUUUUUCAAUUUUAAUAUAAAAUUGGAGAGACCAGUUUUCUUAAAAAAGCGGUCUCUGGACCUUACACCUUAGACCGCCUAUUUAAGUUUGGCAGUCUCUUGCUUUUUUUUUUCCAGCUUUCACGCACUUUUAUUUUCUUUUCUAUCACAUUAUCUUUAAUCCCCUUUACCCCAACGGCCCAACCCACUCCUUAAAAACCUUAGCUUGCUUCUUAUAUCCACUAUGUCUAUUCCACUUCUUCCGCAACCACCUCUUAUCUUUGCACUUCCAUUACUCUCACUCACACUCCUUCAUCCAUUUUUUCUCCUCAUCUCAACCCCUUUACCACCAACAACUUCGUCGCAUAUAUCAUCGCUUGUCGCACGGUAGCAGCGUUUGCAAUCAGCUUGUCAUUCCCUUGCUCUGAACAUUCAGUACUCUCUCUUUGGGUUCAAAGCUUAUUAUAAUCAUAUCGUUCAGUUCAUAUUCGAAGCUAAAGACGAAGAUCUACACGAAUCGGUUGUUAAAGUUCGCGAUGAAGAAGAUUAAUGUUUUUUUUUAUAUAAUUAUCUGGGUUUCGCAUAAUUUGUACUCUGUACCAUGUACAAUAUAAUUAAGAUGGUAAUUUUACAAUACAUGUAUAAAAAUAAAUUGGUUAUUUUGAUGAAUUGUAAUUUAAAAUUUUUAAAUUA